UACGUAGGGUGCAAGCGUUAAUCGGAAUUACUGGGCGUAAAGCGUGCGCAGGCGGUUAUAUAAGACAGAUGUGAAAUCCCCGGGCUUAACCUGGGAACUGCAUUUGUGACUGCAUCGCUGGAGUGCGGCAGAGGGGGAUGGAAUUCCGCGUGUAGCAGUGAAAUGCGUAGAUAUGCGGAGGAACACCGAUGGCGAAGGCAAUCCCCUGGGCCUGCACUGACGCUCAUGCACGAAAGCGUGGGGAGCAAACAGG
rnacentral:rRNA from 1 species